rnacentral:misc_RNA from 1 species
ACAGGUCAAAGUAAAAUCAACGAGGGCCCAUCCAACACAAGCGAGACGAUGUUUCUACAAGACUUCAUCCCUCACAUGGCCAAGCACUAUGGUUUUGAGUAUGAACUUGUUCAGUACAAGUGGCCACGGUGGUUAAACCAGCAGAAAGAGAAACAGCGUGUCAUAUGGGGCUACAAGAUUCUGUUUCUGGAUGUGCUGUUUCCACUUGACGUUAAAAAAAUUAUAUUUGUUGAUGCUGAUCAG